UACAGAGGGGGCAAGCGUUGUUCGGAAUUACUGGGCGUAAAGGGCGCGUAGGCGGCCUGCUAAGUCGAACGUGAAAUCCCCGGGCUCAACCCGGGAACUGCGUCCGAUACUGGCAGGCUUGAAUCCGGGAGAGGGAUGCGGAAUUCCAGGUGUAGCGGUGAAAUGCGUAGAUAUCUGGAGGAACACCGGUGGCGAAGGCGGCAUCCUGGACCGGAAUUGACGCUGAGGCGCGAAAGCCAGGGGAGCAAACGGG
rnacentral:rRNA from 1 species